UACGCGUUUCCAACACGAACACGAUGGAACGGUUGUUCGUGGAAAAUCCUGAAGAAUAAAAUUAAUCUCGAAUCUGUUUCAAGCAGAGAAAUGAAAAGAUGAAAAAACCCAGCGAAUCCCAUGUUCGAAGAAAGUAUUUCCGCCUGAGCAUCGAGCCUAGAACUGUUCUGCGAAUGAUCGUUGAAAAAUUGCGCUCCGUGACGAGUGUUUCGCGGAAAAAUCGAAAGUGAUUACCGUGACUAGGUGUUUAGAAAAAAAAUAAAAAAUAAAAAUCGAACUUCGUUCUCGAUCGUUCGCGACAGAAAAAGGAAAGGGUUUCUCGAUGGUUCUUCGUGGUUUGCUGGCACCAGCGGCGGCGCGAUGGACACGAAAUAAAACAUUGAAAAGGGGUCAAGAGAAGCAGCAGGCAGCCGGUCAAUUAGGAUUAUCACGUUAUGGACCGCAGGUGAUGAGCGUGUUGUGUUUAUGCACCACGGUACAUCAGACCGGUCAGAGCAACAGGCAGGCUAGCAAGACACUACCGAGCUCUCCGCCGAUUCAAUCCGAGGAAGAGAGGAUAAACUCGUCGCAGGAAAUACCCACCGACGAGCUGGCUCUAUUAGCUAAGCUGGAGGAAGCCAAUAGGCUUAUCGAAUCGGAUGCAAAGUCGUUGAACUCGCUUCAUAGCAAUCACAGUAGGAAAGGUUCUGACACAUCUCAGGUGUCGGUGGCGUCGGGGGGCAGCGGUGGAAACGGUGAUGCUGCACCCCGACGCCACAACUCAGCCGAUGGCGAGGAGAAUACGUGGACCCUAUGGGGUCAUAUCGUCGCUGAUUGGGAUUAUCAUUGGAAGAAGAGGAAAGAAUUUGUCAAAGAAUUAGUGCGUCAAGGAAUACCUCAUCAUUUCAGAGGUAUUGUUUGGCAACUAUUAAGCGGUGCUCACGACUCUCCUGUGAAAAAGCAGUUCGCUGAGUAUAUCAAAGCCACGUCCGCCUGCGAAAGGAUAAUCAGGAGGGAUAUAGCCAGAACGUAUCCUGAGCAUGAUUUCUUUAAGGAGAAAGACGGACUUGGUCAGGAGAGUUUGUUUAACGUUAUGAAAGCGUAUAGCCUUCACGAUCGUGAAGUGGGAUACUGUCAAGGUUCGGGAUUUAUUGUAGGAUUACUCCUUAUGCAGCAAAUGCCAGAGGAAGAAGCUUUCGCUGUACUGGUAGCGCUUAUGCAAGAGUAUCGUUUGCGAGACAUGUUCAAGCCGAGUAUGGCUGAAUUAGGGGUGUGCAUGUAUCAGCUAGAACAUUUAGUUGCUGACACGCAUCCCGAGUUACACGCUCAUUUCACGGCUCAAGGUUUUCACACGUCAAUGUACGCAUCGUCUUGGUUUCUUACGCUUUUUACAACGGCCCUCAGUCUACCGUUGGCCUGUCGCAUUUUUGACGUCUUUCUGUCCGAAGGCAUGGAAAUUAUUUUCAAAGUUGCGCUGGCCAUGUUGCAUUUAGGCAAGGAAGAUUUGUUAAGCUUGGACAUGGAGGGCAUGUUGAAGUUCUUCCAGAAACAACUACCUGGAAGAGCCGAAAAAGACCCCGAUGGCCUCAUGAAUCUUGCUUAUGGUAUGAAAAUAAAUCCGAAGAGAAUGAAGAAGUUGGAGAAAGAUUAUACCGUGUUGAAAAUGAAAGAGCAAGAGGAAAUGGUCGAGCUUCGUAGGCUCAGGGCAGAGAAUAGGUUACUUAGGCAAAGAACUGAACUUCUUGAAGCUGAAUCCGCGGAACUGGCGGACAGAUUGGUCAGGGGUCAAGUGUCGCGCGCCGAGGAGGAGGAAACUGCCUUUGUUGUACAAAGGGAAUUAGCGGCUCUUCGGCAUACGCAUCUUGAGACGAGUCAUCAGCUCGAGCAGGCUCACGAGGAGCUGAGAUCGUUGUCGCUUCUGUUAGAGGAAAACGUGACGUCGAAGCAGUCGUCCUUAGAAGAGAUUUUAUCGAAGCAGGAAGCGUUGUCGCAGAAAGAGGAAAUGAUUCAGUGUUUGCAAGAGGAAUUAGUAAGGGUACGUUUGCACGAGGCGGAGAACGAUGCCACGAUAAGGGAGCUCAGAGCGAGAAUACAAGAAUUGGAGCAAGAUAAAAAGACAUUAAGAGAAUCGACACCGGAUAAUUCUGUUGCUCAUUUGCAAGAAGAAUUGAUUGCUGUGAAACUUAGAGAAGCCGAGGCUAAUCUUUCCUUGAAGGAUCUUCGGCAACGAGUAGUGGAGUUAAGUUCUGCCUGGCAAAGGCAUCUGCAAGAGCACCGUUCCGCUCAGAAUCAACCAGCGAGCGAUUCCACGCCGAAGAAGCUAUUGUUUUGGGAGAACAGGGGUCACGAGGUUCAGAAGUUUGAAGAGGACUUAAUGACGACCCGGAUUCGAGAGAUGGAAGCUUUGACGGAGGUGAAGGAGCUUAGACUGAAAGUUAUGGAGCUUGAAACUCAAGUGCAGGUCGCCACGAAUCAGCUCCGUCGACAGGACGAAGGGGGGAAAUUGAUUAAAGAAGAAUUGGAGUCUGCCUUAGCUAGGGAAAAGGAACUUACUGCCAAAUUAAGGGAGCAACAGCACAAGUAUUCUGAUCUCGAGUCGAAGAUGAAGGACGAAGCUAUGAUGGCUAGGAUACGUGAUGCAGAGCACGCGCAGCAAGUGGCUGAACUCACCCAGAAAAUAUCUCUUCUUGAAUUAAAAAACGAAGAGAUGCACGCGGAAGGUGAGCUUAGGAAUAAUUUAGAUGACAGUGAGAGAGUUAGGGAACUGCAGGAUAAAGUUGCUGAAUUAAAAGCUGAGGUCAUGAGAUUAGAAAGCUGGAAACAACAUUGGACAGGUGGACACGGUGGUCAAAAUGUGAGAAGCUUUAGUGUUGAAACUGAAAGCGAGUUGGACGAUCGGGAUCUCCGAAUUUGUUUACAGGAUCAUAUCAAUGCGACUGCGCAGAAUUCACCAGAGGUAUAGAAUUCCACGUAUACCAGAAAAUUAGGCAGCUAAGUGUCGUUAAAAAAAGAAAAAAAAAACAUACACACAAACACAUACACACAAGUAUUCCAUUGUCAGACAAGAUGGGACCGUUUUACUUUCGUGAUCACGCUUUCGCUGUAGAAAGAACGACGAAAUUAUUGAAUGCGAAAGUGAAACCGAACAAGAUAAUCGGGAGUACUUGUAAAACUUAAUAGCCCGGAUAGCUCGUUCCUUAAUAGUGACUUCCUAGGGACGUGAUAAUUACUUCCAACGUAAGUAGUUGCGCAGAUCCAAUCAUCAUUGCUUUGUUCUCGAUUUCGUUCUUUUUUUUUCUCAUUUUUUUUUUUCAGAGCUUACUCGAACCCUUAACGAUCCAUCCCUUAAACGUGCUCGUUGAGAAUUCCAAAUAGCCAGGAAGUGUAUUUACUUUUGAGAUAAAAAGGGAACAGCUGGUUGAUAAGAAAGGAUGCGUUUCUAUUUGCCUUUGACCAGUGCAAUUAAUACGUUAUCUGCGGAUCAAAAAUGAAAAAACUAAGCACUGAUAGAACAAGAUAAUAAAUUUCCACUAUUACUGAUUCAAUGAAACACUCCAAGGAUACAGUGUUAAUGAGUUGCUUGUUUUAUAAUGAAUAGUAAAGUUCAUUUCAAUUGCUUUUUAAAUUAAAAAAAAAAGAAAUAUAUUAAAACGUAUUGCGCUGAAAAUAGAUAAUUAUAUGUCGCGAAGGAUUAAGUAGGUAAUUCUCUUCUUAAUGUGAAUUUUAAGCUACGCUCAAGCAACCUUUUUGUUUUAUAUUAAAAAAAGGUUCUCUUCAAUAAGUACUUAGAAGUUUGCAUAUAAUGUAUAGUUUAAAAGAGUUGUAUUGUUCAUUAGAGGAUAGCAAAUAAGAUUGUGAAGAAGCAAUAUCUAGUAAUACUUAAACAUUUGUAAAUGUGUGUUUAGCGUUGAUUGCUUAAUUUUAAAUGAAUUUUAAAUGUAAAAUUUUAUUUAUAAAUAAUGAUUAUAUACGAAGUUUAGUGAAAUGAAGAAUCCUGCGUUUUAUGAUAUUAAUUUACAAUUUUAUAUGCGACUAGUAUACAAAUUAAUUUAACGUUGGAACGUUAAGGGUUGAAUCGCGUACACAGUUAUUCGCUUUGGCCUAAAUUAUGUCGAUCUUUAUUUUAUUGUAACACAAUUGGCUCACGACGUGGCUAAAUCGAGGAAACUCAUUCUCGCACCAAACACCAGAUAAUUUUUGACGGUGAAACGAAAUCUAAUUUCGCUUUCGUGCACGUUUGAUCGAGAAAACAGCAUGUAACACUUUAGUAUACAAUCGUAGAACUCUGUCGGUUCGGAUCACCAGAUGAUUUUUUAUGCUAAAUAAGAAGACUAGGCAAUUAGAUUUUGCACAUUCCCAAUACGAACGACAUUCGUUGUUGCAAAACAAUAAUUAACGAUUCUUUCCAUUUUAAUGUAAAAGUCUGACUUUGACUUGCUUUCUGAAUGAAUCAUUAUUUUUGCGCCGACUCUCGAUUUUCUUUGCCUAUACAUUGGAUUGCUGCGUUUUAAAAAAAUACAAUUAAUCAGUAUAUUGUUUCAAUCAUUGUAAUGCGACUAAAAUGAAGAAUAGAAUUUCUUAUUAAACAUCAUGUAAACAUUGUAGUAGCAAUUCAAUGGUGUUCAGCAAAUUAGUCGACGAGAGUAAAUCAGUAAAUGCUUUUACACGUUUUCGCAAGAAAAUAAAAUAAAAUUUUAAGACGUCGUUGCGUAGAAAAAUUAUCGAAAUUUGCCUAUAUAGAGGCGCGCUAAUACAACGCUUACUGGCACAAGCUCAAUAUUUACUAUUAAGAAAGGUUGAGUUUCUAAUCUUUUCAGAUAUUUCUCCAGCGGUCGAAAGAAAUAUUUUUGUUCCCUCUAUAAAUAAGAAAAAUAAUAAGAUAAUUUCGGUACUGCCUGAUAGUAUAUACACCAGUCGACUGGACUUAAGCGCAAUGGCUAAAAGAAAUUAAAAAUCUGUCUAUUGAUUUUUAACCAAUUAUUCUAUGUUGCUUCUGCGAAUUUAAAUGUGGAAUUUUAUGUGCGAAAUAAAAAAGAAAUCAACGCAAACUAUUGCGCUUAACUUAAGAUUAUUUUAAUAAUCAAUUAAGGAAACAUCGUAAAGGAAUUAAACAUUAAUUAUGUUUAACUGAAAGAUCAUUAAGGUGCAGUUUUAUGUGUGAAAAAGCACUAAGAUACAGCUUCUAUAUUACAAAUUAUAAAAUUGUAAUAUACUCACGUACACGCCAGUAUUUUUAUUUUAAAUAAUCGAAUAAUUAUUGUGAAAAAAGAAAGAUGUUUUCCUAAUGCGAAUUUCAUUGUUUCUUGCGAACAGCAAUCCAUUUUAAAUCGUUCCUUUUAAAUUCUUACUUCAAUAAUCAGUAUUUAUAAAAGUGACGAAUAGUUUCUUAAGUGAAUUUUAAUUUUAAGAUCAUUUUCCACGUAUUUUCAGUAUUUCUUAUUUAAAUUUUAUUAAAACGAAAAAAAGUACAAUGUAGUUUUUGCGUUUCGUGUAUUUAUUGAAAUUGAAAUUUUCCCGGGAAUUAAUCUCGCGCGUUCGAUAUUAUCGUUCGAUUGUCAUUCGAUUGCUUGACGGAUGAUCGCUAACUUCAGUCGUAAAAAAAACGCGGCACUUGAAUGUACGGAAUAUUUUUCUUAAAAUAUGUAAAUAACGAUUAUGUGGUAUUAUCAUAUUAUUUAUUUCUUCUUAUGUGUUUCCAUUUUAAGAAACUAACGUCAGUCUUUUAAGGUACGCCCAUUUUCUACAUUUUACAACGCUUAACUAUAUUUUGUUAAGAAUCAUUUCAAAGUGAUUAUACGUAUUGUAUGCAUUUGGCGCAUUUAUUGUAUUCGAGAACAAGCGGUCAUAAGUGACGCGUUUAUUAGUGAUUUUUUCCAACUAUUGUAUACAAGGUUUUUCGAUGGAUAAUGCGCACACUAUGGACAACGAUAUGAAUUUGUCACGAACGUUAUGGGGAAUAUUAUAACAUCAGGAGUAAAUAAAUUUUUAUUCACUUUUAA